rnacentral:rRNA from 1 species
AGAGUUUGAUCCUGGCUCAGGACGAACGCUGGCGGCGCGCCUAACACAUGCAAGUCGAACGAGCGAGAGGAGGUUUACUUUCUCAAGCGAGUGGCGAACGGGUGAGUAACGCGUGAGGAACCUGCCUCAAAGAGGGGGACAACAGUUGGAAACGACUGCUAAUACCGCAUAAGCCCACGACCCGGCAUCGGGUAGAGGGAAAAGGAGCAAUCCGCUUUGAGAUGGCCUCGCGUCCGAUUAGCUAGUUGGUGAGGUAAUGGCCCACCAAGGCGACGAUCGGUAGCCGGACUGAGAGGUUGAACGGCCACAUUGGGACUGAGACACGGCCCAGACUCCUACGGGAGGCAGCAGUGGGGAAUAUUGCACAAUGGGGGAAACCCUGAUGCAGCGACGCCGCGUGGAGGAAGAAGGUCUUCGGAUUGUAAACUCCUGUUGUUGAGGAAGAUAAUGACGGUACUCAACAAGGAAGUGACGGCUAACUACGUGCCAGCAGCCGCGGUAAAACGUAGGUCACAAGCGUUGUCCGGAAUUACUGGGUGUAAAGGGAGCGCAGGCGGGAAGACAAGUUGGAAGUGAAAUCCAUGGGCUCAACCCAUGAACUGCUUUCAAAACUGUUUUUCUUGAGUAGUGCAGAGGUAGGCGGAAUUCCCGGUGUAGCGGUGGAAUGCGUAGAUAUCGGGAGGAACACCAGUGGCGAAGGCGGCCUACUGGGCACCAACUGACGCUGAGGCUCGAAAGUGUGGGUAGCAAACAGGAUUAGAUACCGUGGGUAGUCCACACUGUAAACGAUGAUUACUAGGUGUUGGAGGAUUGACCCCUUCAGUGCCGCAGUUAACACAAUAAGUAAUCCACCUGGGGAGUACGACCGCAAGGUUGAAACUCAAAGGAAUUGACGGGGGCCCGCACAAGCAGUGGAGUAUGUGGUUUAAUUCGACGCAACGCGAAGAACCUUACCAAGUCUUGACAUCCUGCGACGCACAUAGAAAUAUGUGUUUCCUUCGGGACGCAGAGACAGGUGGUGCAUGGUUGUCGUCAGCUCGUGUCGUGAGAUGUUGGGUUAAGUCCCGCAACGAGCGCAACCCUUAUGGUCAGUUACUACGCAAGAGGACUCUGGCCAGACUGCCGUUGACAAAACGGAGGAGGGUGGGGAUGACGUCAAAUCAUCAUGCCCUUUAUGACUUGGGCUACACACGUACUACAAUGGCGUUAAACAAAGAGAAGCAAGACCGCGAGGUGGAGCAAAACUCAGAAACAACGUCCCAGUUCGGACUGCAGGCUGCAACUCGCCUGCACGAAGUCGGAAUUGCUAGUAAUCGCAGAUCAGCAUGCUGCGGUGAAUACGUUCCCGGGCCUUGCACACACCGCCCGUCA